GGAAGAAUCGGGUGCUUGCACGGGGAUUAGUGGCGACGGGUGAGUAACACGUGAGUAACCUGCCCUUGACUCUGGGAUAAGCCUGGGAAACUGGGUCUAAUACCGGAUAUGACUAUCUGGCGCAUGCCAUGGUGGUGGAAAGCUUUUGCGGUUUUGGAUGGACUCGCGGCCUAUCAGCUUGUUGGUGGGGUAAUGGCCUACCAAGGCGACGACGGGUAGCCGGCCUGAGAGGGUGACCGGCCACACUGGGACUGAGACACGGCCCAGACUCCUACGGGAGGCAGCAGUGGGGAAUAUUGCACAAUGGGCGAAAGCCUGAUGCAGCGACGCCGCGUGAGGGAUGACGGCCUUCGGGUUGUAAACCUCUUUCAGUAGGGAAGAAGCGAAAGUGACGGUACCUGCAGAAGAAGCGCCGGCUAACUACGUGCCAGCAGCCGCGGUAAUACGUAGGGCGCAAGCGUUAUCCGGAAUUAUUGGGCGUAAAGAGCUCGUAGGCGGUUUGUCGCGUCUGCUGUGAAAGACCGGGGCUCAACUCCGGUUCUGCAGUGGGUACGGGCAGACUAGAGUGAUGUAGGGGAGACUGGAAUUCCUGGUGUAGCGGUGAAAUGCGCAGAUAUCAGGAGGAACACCGAUGGCGAAGGCAGGUCUCUGGGCAUUAACUGACGCUGAGGAGCGAAAGCAUGGGGAGCGAACAGGAUUAGAUACCCUGGUAGUCCAUGCCGUAAACGUUGGGCACUAGGUGUGGGGGACAUUCCACGUUUUCCGCGCCGUAGCUAACGCAUUAAGUGCCCCGCCUGGGGAGUACGGCCGCAAGGCUAAAACUCAAAGGAAUUGACGGGGGCCCGCACAAGCGGCGGAGCAUGCGGAUUAAUUCGAUGCAACGCGAAGAACCUUACCAAGGCUUGACAUGAACCGGUAACGCCUGGAAACAGGUGCCCCGCUUGCGGUCGGUUUACAGGUGGUGCAUGGUUGUCGUCAGCUCGUGUCGUGAGAUGUUGGGUUAAGUCCCGCAACGAGCGCAACCCUCGUUCCAUGUUGCCAGCACGUAGUGGUGGGGACUCAUGGGAGACUGCCGGGGUCAACUCGGAGGAAGGUGGGGACGACGUCAAAUCAUCAUGCCCCUUAUGUCUUGGGCUUCACGCAUGCUACAAUGGCCGGUACAAAGGGUUGCGAUACUGUGAGGUGGAGCUAAUCCCAAAAAGCCGGUCUCAGUUCGGAUUGGGGUCUGCAACUCGACCCCAUGAAGUCGGAGUCGCUAGUAAUCGCAGAUCAGCAACGCCUGCGAGGCCCC
rnacentral:rRNA from 1 species